GAUGAAGAACGUAGCGAAAUGCGAUAAGUAGUGUGAAUUGCAGAAUUCAGUGAAUCAUCGAAUCUUUGAACGCACAUUGCGCCCCCUGGUAUUCCGGGGGGCAUGCCUGUCCGAGCGUCAUUACAACCCUCAAGCUCAGCUUGGUGUUGGGCCCCGCCGCCCCGGCGGGCCCUAAAGUCAGUGGCGGUGCCGUCCGGCUCCGAGCGUAGUAAUUCUUCUCGCUCUGGAGGUCCGGUCGUGUGCUCGCCAGCAACCCCCAAUUUUUUUCAGGUUGACCUCGGAUCAGGUAGGGAUACCCGCUGAACUUAAGCAUAUCCAAUAAGCGGAGGA
rnacentral:misc_RNA from 1 species